rnacentral:rRNA from 1 species
AAUUAUGGACAAUGGGCGCAAGCCUGAUCCAGCAAUGCCGCGCGCAGGAUGAAGGCCUUCGGGUUNUAAACUGCUUCUGUACGGAANGAAAAGCCCUGGGCUAAUACCGUGGGGUCAUGACGGUAGCGUAAGAAUAAGCACCGGCUACCUACGUGCCAGCAGCCGCGGUAAUACGUAGGGUGCAAGCGUUAAUCGGAAUUACUGGGCGUAAAGCGUGCGCAGGCGGUUUUGUAAGACAGAGGUGAAAUCCCCGGGCUCAACCUGGGAACUGCCUUUGUGACUGCAAGGCUAGAGUACGGCAGAGGGGGAUGGAAUUCCGCGUGUAGCAGUGAAAUGCGUAGAUAUGCGGAGGAACACCGAUGGCGAAGGCAAUCCCCUGGGCCUGUACUGACGCUCAUGCACGAAAGCGUGGGGAGCAAACAGG